AACGAACGCUGGCGGCGUGCUUAAUACAUGCAAGUCGAACGAAGAGCCUUUGUAGCAAUACAGGGGUUUCUUAGUGGCGAACGGGUGCGUAACGCGUUGGUGACCUGCCCCAAAGUGUGGGAUAACAGUUCGAAAGGAUUGCUAAUACCGCAUGUGGUCAUCGGGUUUAGAAGCCGAUGACUAAAGCAGUAAUGCGCUUUGGGAGGGACCUGCGUCCCAUCAGCUAGUUGGUGAGGUAAUGGCUCACCAAGGCUUCGACGGGUAGGGGACCUGAGAGGGUGGUCCCCCACACUGGCACUGAAACACGGGCCAGACACCUACGGGUGGCAGCAGUAGGGAAUAUUGGGCAAUGGGCGAAAGCCUGACCCAGCAACGCCGCGUGCACGAUGAAGGUCUUCGGAUCGUAAAGUGCUUUUCUGAGAGAUGAGAAAGGACAGUAUCUCAGGAAUAAGUCUCGGCUAACUACGUGCCAGCCGCCGCGGUAAAAC
rnacentral:rRNA from 1 species